UACGAAUGGAGCAAGCGUUGUUCGGAAUCACUGGGCGUAAAGCGUGCGUAGGCGGUUUAAUAAGUCAGAAGUGAAAGCCCAGGGCUCAACCUUGGAAUUGCUUUUGAAACUAUUAAACUCGAGUCCCGGAGAGGUUGGCGGAAUUCCUAGUGUAGAGGUGAAAUUCGCAGAUAUUAGGAGGAACACCAGUGGCGUAGGCGGCCAACUGGACGGGUACUGACGCUGAGGCACGAAAGCGUGGGGAGCAAACAGG
rnacentral:rRNA from 1 species